CACUGAGAUAAAUCCCCAGCCCACAUAUGCAUUUUUGAAUAAAUCAUGGUACCAUUUAUUUGACUCUCUUUAGAAUGAUAAAUCUUGGCCUUGGAGGUAAGGUCAUUUCUUCAAACUGAUAUUUGUUAAUUGCUGGGUAGCAUAAUGGCCCGGGCCACGCCCAUGGCACGGUGAGGUCUCAGAGGUGUCUUGCAGCCCCACCCCCACCUGACGCUCUCAAAGCUGCAGCGACCGGCUCCGUUGAGACAAGACAAGCAGCUUGGGGUUCCUGCGGCCGUCCCGGGCCAUGCCCACGGCACGGUCCCACUCCAGGAUGAAAAGGAGUCAAGCCUGACUCUGGAUACUCAAGCUUGCUUAGAGCUUUUGAAGAUGGAUGUAAGGGAAUCCAUGGUCAACCAUCUUGUGCGAUCCUUGCUUCAAGGGAACUGUUUGUUCCUGCACAAGUUUUUGCAAAACUACCAAGAUUUGGGACCAUGCAGCAGGAGCUGGAUCUGCUGUUGAAAAGCCCAGGCAGCAGCACCAGUGCCAGGUCCAACUGGAGAGCGAGAGGCAGGUCCAGCACCAGCCUCUAAGCCAGCAGUAGAUCCACCACCCAUUCUGGGGCAAGAGUUGGCUGCAGUGCCAGCUCCAUGGCCAGGUGCACCUAGAAAGCUACCUUGGGUUAUUCCAAA
rnacentral:lncRNA from 1 species